rnacentral:rRNA from 1 species
GACGGAGGGUGCUAGCGUUGUUCGGAAUCACUGGGCGUAAAGGGCGCGUAGGCGGUCUGUCGCGUCGAUCGUGAAAACUUGGGGCUUAACCCUGAGCUUGCGGUCGAUACGGGCAUGACUGGAGUUCGGCAGGGGAGACUGGAAUUCCUGGUGUAGCGGUGAAAUGCGCAGAUAUCAGGAGGAACACCGGUGGCGAAGGCGGGUCUCUGGGCCGAUACUGACGCUGAGGAGCGAAAGCGUGGGGAGCGAACAGG